rnacentral:ncRNA from 1 species
AAUAAAUUUUUUAUGAUUUAUAAAAUUUAAUUUAAAUUUAUUUUACAUAUAAAUUUUAGUGUGUAUUUUUAAUUUAUUUUAAUAAUUAUUAAAAAUAAAUUUAAUAGUAAUUAAUAUUAAAAAUUUAAGAAAUUAAGAUUUAGUAAUAUUUAAUUAUUAUUAACAAAUUUUGUGCCAGCAGUUGCGGUUAUACAAAAAAUAAUUUAAAUUUUAUUAGUAAAUAAUAAAUAUUAAUAUUUUAAAAUUAAAUAAUAAAUUAUUAGGUGAAAUUUUAAUUUAUUUAAAAUUUAUUAUUAAAUCAUGAUUUAGUGAUUUUUAUUUAUAAACUAGGAUUAGAUACCCUAUUAUUAAAAAUUUAAUUGUAAAUACUGAAAUAGUAAAUAAUAUAUAUUGAAACUUAAGUAAAAUGGCGGUAUUUUAGUUCAUUUAGAGGAAUCUGUCUAGUAAUUGAUAAUCCACGAAUAAAUUUACUUGAUUUAUUAUUUUGUAUAUCAUUGUUAAAAAAAUAUUUUAUAAUAAAAAUAAUAUUUAAAAAUUUAAAAUAAAAAUUAAAUCAGAUCAAGAUGCAGAUUAUAAUUAAGUUAAAGAUGGAUUACAAUAAAAAUAUUUAAAUGAAAAUAAUUUUUGUAAAAUAUAAUUGAAGGUGGAUUUAAAUGUAAUUUUAAUUAAUUUAUUAAAAUGAUUAAAAAUUAAAAUAUGUACAUAUUGCCCGUCACUUUCAUUUAAAAAUUGAAAUAAGUCGUAACAUAGUAGAGGUACUGGAAAGUGUUUCUAGAAUGAA